GAAGUAGCCAGCAGUAGCAUUCUCUCAACUAUUGGAAUUUGGAAGUUCCGAUUCACUCUCUGGCUUUCUGCGAAGGAGGUUAGCGUCCUCUUGAUUCAACUGACUUUACGGUCUCGAUUCUCCAGUGUCAAUAAUUUUUCAGAUGGAUGAAGUGUCUCUCAACACUGAGCCAAUAGGUGAUGAUGAAGCUGAUGAAUUUGAGAUUGAAGGAGAUUGUGCAAUGACAGAAUAUGUUGGUCAAACUGGUACAAUCCAGGGAGAGAAUCCUAUCCCUCCUGCAGUUGGAAUGGAAUUUGAGUCCUAUGAGGAUGUGUAUUACUUUUACAAUUGCUAUGCCAAGGAACAGGGAUUUGGGGUUAGAGUAAGUAAUACGUGGUACAGAAAGAGUAAAGAGAGAUACAGAGGUAAGCUUAGCUGCAGUAGUGCAGGUUUCAAGAAAAAAAGUGAGGCAAACCGGCCAAGACCUGAAACAAGAACUGGUUGUCCAGCAAUGAUAAAGUUCAGGCUGAUGGAAAACAAAAGGUGGAGAAUUAUUGAAGUUGAGCUUGAGCACAAUCACUUAAUUAGCCCAGCAAGUGGAAAAUUUUAUAAAUCACAUAAGCUCAUAGGUGCUGGAACCAAAAGGACAUUGCAAUUAGAUGGUCCUGGUGAAGUGCAGAAAAUUAGGAUGUAUCGCACUGUGAUAAUAGAUUCUGAGGGCAAUGAAGGUGUAGAUGAUGAAGGACAAUGUGGAAACCUUCUCCAUUCCAAUCAAUUAAAACUUAGAGAAGGAGAUGCCCAAGCAGUUCAAGAUUUCUUUUGCCGCUCACAGUUGAUGGAUCCCAACUUCUUUUAUGUGGUGGAUCUCAAUGAGAAAGGAUAUAUGAGGAAUUUGUUCUGGGCUGAUGCAAGGUCAAGGGUUGCAUAUGGUUAUUUUGGUGAUGUUGUUGCAAUUGACACUUCAUGCUUGAAAGAAAAAUUUGAGGUACCACUGGUUUCAUUUAUUGGAGUAAAUCAGCAUGGGCAUUCCAUGCCAUUGGGCUGUGGUUUGCUUGCAGGUGAGACUACUGAAUCAUAUAUAUGGUUGUUGAGAGCCUGGCUUACAUGUAUGCUAGGACGUCCUCCACAAGCUGUCAUCACUGACCAGUGCAGAAGUUUGCAAACUGCUGUUCUUGAUGUUCUUCCAAGAGCUUCACAUUGCCUUCAUUUGUCACAUAUCAUGCAAAGAGUUCCAGAGAAUCUGGGAGAUUUAUUUGAAUUUGAAGCAAUUAGAGAAGCAUUGAGUAGAAUAGUAAACUACUUUCUGAGGCCUGAGGAAUUUGAAGCAACUUGGGAGGAGAUGGUCCAACAUCAUGGAAUCAGGGAUCAUAGAUGGAUCCAAACUUUAUAUGAAGAUAGGAAAAGGUGGGUUCCUGCUUAUGUGAAGGAAACAUUUUUGGCAGGCUUGUUUCCAUUCCAGCAAAAUGAGAUUGUGCCUUCAAUUUUUGAAGGGUAUCUGGAUAAACAUACUCCUUUAAAAGAAUUUCUGGACAAGUAUGAUCAAGCACUACAGACGAAUCAUCAACUUGAAGCCUUAGCAGAUGUGGAUUCAAGGAAUUCAAGUUUAAUGCUAAAAUCAAGAUGUUAUUUUGAGCUACAACUCUCAAAAUUGUACACAAAUGAAAUAUUUAAGAGGUUUGAAAAGAAGGUGGAGGGCAUGUAUGCUUGUUUUAGCACAAGACAGGUAGGUAUUGAUGGGCAAUUAACAACAUACAUAGUGAAAGAACAAGUUGAAGUUGAGAACAACAGGCAGGAAACAAGGGACUUUGAGGUUAUGUACAAUACAUCCGAAAUGGAUAUUCUGUGUGUUUGUGGUUUGUUCAACUUUAAAGGAUAUUUAUGUAGACAUGCGCUAAGUGUUCUUCACCAAAAUGCAUUGGAGGAGAUCCCACCUCAAUACAUUCUUACAAGAUGGAGAAAAGAUGUAAAUCGAUCCUACGUUCUUGAUCACGGCUCUGGUGGGAUUGACACUAAUAACCCAGUUCACAGGUAUGACCAUUUGUACAAAUGCAUUGUGCGAGUUGUGGAGGAAGGGAGGAAAUCACAAGAUCGCUACAAGGUUACUCUGCAAGCUUUGGGGGAGAUAUUAAACAAGCUUCAUCUUUUAGAAGACUAGCCAUGUAAAUUAUUAGGGACCUUGAUGACUAGUUGUGUGGAACUACAUGUUUGUGAAUCAUGUUAUUGGCUCUAUAUGCAUAUGUUUAUGUGCAUUAAAGCUGAUAACAUCACACUGCAUCAUUUGGAAACAUGUGCAUGGGGAUCUCAAAUUAUGAAAUCUUUACUUAACUGCUGAAUGACUUUUCUAGUGGCUAUUCCAAGAAAGAGAAAGAAAGAAAGAAAAGAUUAAAUUAGUGUAACACAGGCAUCUUCGAUCCCUUGACUAUUGUUGAGAAUGAAACCUUUACAUAUAUAUAUAGGGAUUGGAACAGAUUUCUGCCAAAUAAUUGAAAUAUAAUAUUCUCCAUCAAAAGUAUACUACGAUACAAUUCUUUUAAUGCAGUUUGAUUAUUGGAAUUUAAUAUCUCUAUUCAGAAUCACUUUUAAGAAAAUUGCUUUUCAAGAAAGUGAUUUUUAUGAAUGUAAUUUUAUCAUAUUUGUUUUUUUAUUUGAAAUCACUUCUUUGAGAAAAUAACUUUCUAAAAAUGUGAUUUUAAGAACGUAAAAUUAUCAUAUUUAAUUUUAAUUUCUUUAAUAACAAUUUUUAUGUUUGAUUAGGUUAUGAAAAAUAUAAAUAAAGUGAAAUAAAUUAUUACAAUAAUUAUGAUUUACACGAACAAUUAUCUAGUACAUUCAAUUUCUAUAUAUAUAUAUGUAAAGGAGACAAGGUUGGCUUGCAGGAUUGACAGGUCUUGAGCUCACAGACCUGACAUGGAAGUCCCAUUAACAAGAACAGAAGCAAGGAGAAAGAAAGGAAAGAAGGAGAAGAAGAUGCAAGAAAGAAGGGGGCAGGAAGAUUCGAGAAGACGAAAGAAGAGAGAUAUAUGUUGUAUUUUUUUAUUGAUUGCUUAAUCAGAUACAUUGCUAAGAUUGAUUGCUUAGUCAGAUACAAUGGUAAGGUAUAUGCAAUUAAUCCUCGGCUAUUCUCCUCUAAAAUUGUUUACAAAUCUGUUACACAGCUAACUACUUAACCAACUCAGCUCUCAGCUCAACUAACCAGCUAACUCAAGUUUUUGUCCUCUGCUAUACACUGCAUACUAACAUUCUCAACAUCCCUUCCGGCUGAAAGCAGGAAACUGAUGCUUUAUAAAAUCUACAUCCUCCCAAGUGGAAUUCUGAUGAGGUAAAGUGCUCCAUUGAAUCAACACUUGAUGCACCGAAUGAUUCUCUCUUCUAAUAGUAUUAGCGUCCAGAAUUGAAAGAGGUUUAAGAUGAAACUGUCCACACUUGGUAUGGUCAGGCAAAGAAGAUUGAACUGACUGAUAUGGACCCAUCUUCUUCGUUAGAAGUGACAUAAAAAACAUCGUGAAUCAAAGCAUCAUCGGGCCAAUGGAGUUUUUAUGUAAGCAACUGAUCCAAUCUUUUGGAAAAUGAAACGAGGACUACAGCAUUUGGUGUAAAGCUUAGCAUGCUUCCUAGGUCUCAAAAAAGUCUGUCUAUAAAGAUGACGCUUCAAAAAUACACCCAAUCUCCAACUUCAAAUUCAUUCAGUUCUCUUAGAACUAGCAUAUUGCUUCAUUAUGAUCUGAGCUACCAGCAAUUAGUUUAUAAGAAAUCCUCCACCUUAACUACUGACAGAAGUUGUGCCCACAGUCAAACAAUUUGGAGGGUAGCCGUAUAAAGCCUAGAAGUGUGGCAUUUUAAUACUUCUGUAGUAAUUAGAAUUAUACCACCACUUUUCUAAGCUCAACCAUUUGCACCAUUUGUGAGGUUGAUGAAAAGUCAUACAGCUGAAGUAAUUUUCUAAACAUUUAUUCAAUCUUUCAGUUUGGCCAUCUGACUGAGGAUGAUAAAACAGUACUGAAAUGCAAAUUAAUAUCCAAAGCCUUGAAAAGAUGAUUUCAAAACAAACUUGUGAAGAUUUUGUCUGUAUCAGAAACUAUGUUGUUAGAAAUGCCAUGCAACUUGAAAAUGUUAUCAAUACAGAGCUUAUCCUCUUUCUCAGCGGUAAAAGAAUGAGCCAAGUGUAUAAAAUGUGCAAAUUUGGUAAACCUCUCUACCACCCCCAAUAUUGUAUCCUUUCCCUCAGAUUUGGGCAGCUAUCUAACAAAACCCAUGGAAAUACAAUGCUAGUCUUGUGAAGGGAUAGUCAAGGGCUACAAUCACCCAGGGCAUGGCACUAAUUCACCCUUGCAUUUUUGGCAAAUAUUACAAUGUAGCACCCACUUCUCAAUGCUUCUCAACUUACUUGUCCGGUAAAAGUAGGGGAGAGCAGUUUUCGGUUUACCUUGCUACUUUGACCUUCACUACUACUCUGAUCUUCGCUAUACUCAUUUCUUCCUUUUUUCUUUGGAGCCAUAUAAAUCCUGAAGAAAAUAUGUAAAUACUUUUAAAAUUAU
rnacentral:misc_RNA from 1 species